CAGGCCUCACCCUUAUACUUAGAACUGCUAGUGAGGCUGGCGAACAGCCCAGAGGUUAUUGGAAGAGGUCCAUUAUUAAAACGUCUGACAUACACGACCUGACUGAGGAUCCACAUCCACGAACCACCAAUUCAAUGGCAGGACACGGGGGACCAAGGGUUGGACUACACUAGAUGGACACGAGAAUACUGAAGGACAAACCAAGCUAUAUAGGUUGAGGACAGGGGGGGGGGGAAGAUGGAGACCCUCGAUUACGCCAAGCCCAACAACUUAUCACUCACUGACUGCUAAUAAC